AUUGAACGCUGGCGGCAUGCCUUACACAUGCAAGUCGAACGGCAGCACGGGAGCAAUCCUGGUGGCGAGUGGCGAACGGGUGAGUAAUAUAUCGGAACGUGCCCAGUCGUGGGGAUAACGUAGCGAAAGCUACGCUAAUACCGCAUACGAUCUAUGGAUGAAAGCGGGGGAUCGCAAGACCUCGCGCGAUUGGAGCGGCCGAUAUCAGAUUAGGUAGUUGGUGAGGUAAAGGCUCACCAAGCCGACGAUCUGUAGCUGGUCUGAGAGGACGACCAGCCACACUGGGACUGAGACACGGCCCAGACUCCUACGGGAGGCAGCAGUGGGGAAUAUUGGACAAUGGGCGGAAAGACCUGAUCCAGCAAUGCCGCGUGAGUGAUGAAGGCCUUAGGUUGUAAACUGCUUUUGUUACGGAACGAAACGGUGAGCUCUAAUACAGUUUGCUAAUGACGGUACCGUAAGAAUAAGCACCGGC
rnacentral:rRNA from 1 species